rnacentral:rRNA from 1 species
AAGCUGCGGCAGCGACACUAUGUGUUGUUGGGUAGGGGAGCGUUCUGUAAGCCUGCGAAGGUGUGCUGUGAGGCAUGCUGGAGGUAUCAGAAGUGCGAAUGCUGACAUAAGUAACGAUAAAGCGGGUGAAAAGCCCGCUCGCCGGAAGACCAAGGGUUCCUGUCCAACGUUAAUCGGGGCAGGGUGAGUCGACCCCUAAGGCGAGGCCGAAAGGCGUAGUCGAUGGGAAACAGGUUAAUAUUCCUGUACUUGGUGUUACUGCGAAGGGGGGACGGAGAAGGCUAUGUUAGCCGGGCGACGGUUGUCCCGGUUUAAGCAUGUAGGCUGGUUGUCCAGGCAAAUCCGGAUAAUCAAGGCUGAGGUGUGAUGACGAGGCACUACGGUGCUGAAGUAACAAAUGCCCUGCUUCCAGGAAAAGCCUCUAAGCAUCAGGUAACAUCAAAUCGUACCCCAAACCGACACAGGUGGUCAGGUAGAGAAUACCAAGGCGCUUGAGAGAACUCGGGUGAAGGAACUAGGCAAAAUGGUGCCGUAACUUCGGGAGAAGGCACGCUGGUGUGUAGGUGAAGUCCCUGCGGAUGGAGCUGAGACCAGUCGAAGAUACCAGCUGGCUGCAACUGUUUAUUAAAAACAC